UACGGGGGGGGCUAGCGUUGUUCGGAAUUACUGGGCGUAAAGCGCGCGUAGGCGGCUUUGUAAGUUAGAGGUGAAAGCCCGGAGCUCAACUCCGGAAUUGCCUUUAAGACUGCAUCGCUAGAAUCAUGGAGAGGUUAGUGGAAUUCCGAGUGUAGAGGUGAAAUUCGUAGAUAUUCGGAAGAACACCAGUGGCGAAGGCGACUAACUGGACAUGUAUUGACGCUGAGACGCGAAAGCGUGGGGAGCAAACAGG
rnacentral:rRNA from 1 species